GAACGAUCCUUCGGGAUAGUGGCGGACGGGUGAGUAACACGUGGGAACGUGCCCUUUGGUUCGGAACAACACGGGGAAACUUGUGCUAAUACCGGAUGUGCCCUUCGGGGGAAAGAUUUAUCGCCAUUGGAGCGGCCCGCGUCUGAUUAGCUAGUUGGUGAGGUAAAAGCUCACCAAGGCGACGAUCAGUAGCUGGUCUGAGAGGGUGACCAGCCACAUUGGGACUGAGACACGGCCCAAACUCCUACAGGAGGCAGCAGUGGGGAAUCUUGCGCAAUGGGCGAAAGCCUGACGCAGCCAUGCCGCGUGGAUGAUGAAGGUCUUAGGAUUGUAAAAUCCUUUCAGCGGGGACGAUAAUGACGGUACCCGCAGAAGAAGCCCCGGCUAACUUCGUG
rnacentral:rRNA from 1 species